AUUGGCGGUUACUUCUCCAUCUUCACCUGAUUUCAGUUUUUCAUUGAUAGCCCAAUCAAGCGCUCGUUGUGCAGCUUCAGUCAAUGGUGGGUGCAUAGGACUAAAGUAGAACAUUUCUGAUUUCCCAAGCACAUUUGCUGCCUCCUCGCGCACUUUGAGCAGCGUAAUUCCAUUAGCACGCAAAAGUUUUGCUGCAUCACUAGUUCCCUCGACAAGGAUGCCCAUGA
rnacentral:misc_RNA from 1 species